rnacentral:rRNA from 1 species
GAUGAACGCUAGCGGCAGGCCUAAUACAUGCAAGUCGAACGGAUAUAUGUUUUUCGAAAUAUAUAUUAGUGGCGCACGGGUGAGUAACACGUACAUAACUUGCCCUCAAGCGGGGGAUAGCCUUGGGAAACUGAGAGUAAUACCCCCAUAGAAUUAUUGGACGGCAUCGUUUGAUAAUUAAAACUACGGUGCUUGGGGAUAGAUGUGCGUCUGAUUAGCUAGUUGGUGAGGUAACUGCUCACCAAGGCGACGAUCAGUAGGGGGCGUGAGAGCGUGGCCCCCCACACGGGUACUNAGACACGGACCCGACUCCUACGGGAGGCAGCAGUAAGGAAUAUUGGUCAAUAGGAGGGAACGUACUGAACCAGCCAUG